AAAUAGAUGUAAAGAGUUAGAAAGAGAAGGAAAAGGCGAAGCUUCUUCAAUCUGAAACUACUUUAAAAAGUACUCGAAGUCUCGGGAUGAUUGCGUGUGAAUCUGUCUCUAAACAAACGGGUAUCGCGCUUCCCUUACUGCCGGCUUUCCC